rnacentral:rRNA from 1 species
AGCGAACGCUGGCGGCAGGCUUAACACAUGCAAGUCGAGCGCCGUAGUAAUACGGAGCGGCAGACGGGUGAGUAACACGUGGGAACGUACCUUUUGGUUCGGAACAACACAGGGAAACUUGUGCUAAUACCGGAUAAGCCCUUACGGGGAAAGAUUUAUCGCCGAAAGAUCGGCCCGCGUCUGAUUAGCUAGUUGGUGAG